GUAGUAGUAAUAAAUAAUAAUAAUAAUAAUAAUAAUAAUAAUAAUAAAUAAUAAUAAUAAAUAAUAAUAAUAAUAAUAAUAAUAAAUAAUAAAUAAUAAUAAUAAUAAUAAUAAUAAUAAUAAUAAUAAGAUAGUAAUAAUAAAAAUAACGAUGAUGACUUUAAUGAUGAUGAUGGCGAUGAUAAUGAUGAUGAUGAUGAUUUGGUCCUACUGGCCUUUAGGCAAUCCGUCUGUCUGUCCGUCCGUCCAACUUGUACCUGCGUCUGGUUUUCUCCUCUGCAUCCUCUCAUACACAUAUAUAUAUAUAUAUAUAUAUAUAUAUAUCUAAAUAUAAGCAGCCUCCGCAUCACAUUGGCAGCUGGUAGGUGCCUGGGAAUUCUUGAUUCUUUAUCUCCCCAAUUAUACAAUCCUCAUUCUAAUUGGUCGAGCCUAUAGUGAGUGGCGCUACCCUUGCAUCAUUCCUUUAAAAAAAAAAAAUUGAGAAGAAAAAAAAAAUACAGACCGCGCCGCCACUCUCCUUUCCUUCAAUUUCACGCGUUUCAUCGAUUUUUCCCCCUCACCCACACACCCACUCACACACACACACACAAAUAUACAUACACACAUUUUUUUUCCCUAUAGAAAGAUUUGGAAAGUGUUUUUUUUUUUCUAAAUUUGUAAAUUUUUUUUUUUUUUUUUUUUUUUUUUUUUUUUACAUAAAUAGGAAAAAAAAAUUGUUUUUUAUUUUCCUAAGGAAAAAAGUUUAAUUAAAUUAAUUUUUUAAUGUGAGAAUUUUUUUUUUUUCUUUUUCAACCCUUUUGAAAUAAGGCCAACAAUAUUCAAAUCUAAUUUUUAUUUAACAAUUAAUUUUUUACAAAAAUUCGAAUAUAAUUUUGAGGUUAGAUUUCACUUAUUGAGGUAUUAUUAUUACGCCAUUUUAACAUAAAAUGUUGAAACUUUGGAAAAAAAAAAUUAUUUUCUCCUUCAAAAUAAAUCCACUGUUAAAAUAUUAAAGAUUAAUUUUAUUUUGCAAAGAACAUUCAAGGUGUGAAAUUGAGGUUAUGUUGUGCUAUAGAAGCGCCACUUGGCGACAAAAUAGUGUAACUUUAUGUAAAAUUAUUUUCUCCCUUCAAGAAGAAUCUAUAGUUUAAAUUUCAUGCAAUAAUAAUUCCAAUUUUAACAAUAAUUUUAUAAGCUAACAAAAUGUUCGAAAUGAGGUUAAUUUUCGUUUAAUAGACAUUUAAAUAGCGCCAUCUGGAUAUAAAAUCCUGAAACUUUAGAUAUACAUUUGUUCCCUCGAGACGAAUCCACAGUUUAAAUUUGAAGUUUAAAUUUCUUUUUGAAGCGACUUUACAAGAUAAUAAAUAAUCGAGGUGAAAAAUUGAGGUUAGGUUUAAUUAAAAAACGCAUUAAACAAUAAUAAUAAUUAAAAUAUAGUAACAUAAUAUUAAAAAUAAUAAUAAAAAUAUUAAUAAAAAUAGUAAUUAUAAUACAAUUAAUAAUAAUACUAAUAAUAAUAAUAAUAAUAAUAAUAAUUAAUAAUAAUAAAAUAUAAUUCCCAAUUUCUCCCUCGAGAAGAAUCUAUUGUUCAAAUUUCAAGCUUUAAUUCCAAGUUACAGCGAUACUAUAGGCUAACAAACAUUUGAGGUGAGUGAAAUGAGGUUAGGUUUCUUUAAAAACGCAUUUAAGCAACGCCACCUGGAUAUAAAUCCCUGAAACUUUACACACACACACACAUUUUCUCACUCGAGAAGAACGCAUAUAGUCUAAAUUUAAAGCUUUAAUUCCAUUUUCAAGCGAUUUUACAAGCUACUAAAAAUUUGAGGUGAGAAAGUGAGGUUAAUUUGCGUUCAAAAAAAAAAAAAAUGCAUUUAAAUAGCGCCACCUGGAUAAAAAAAAAUUCUGAAAUUUUACACACAUAUUUUCUCACUCGAGAAGAAUCUAUUGUCCAAAUUUCAAGUCUUAAUUUCAAUUUGCAGCGUUUCUAUAGGCUAACAAACAUUCGAAGUGAGAGAAGUGAGGUUAGAUUUCAUUGAAAAUGGAAUUAAAUAAUAAUAAUUGAAAUAUAGUAACCUAAUAUUAAAAAUAAUAAUAAAAAUAGUAAUAAUAAUAAUAAUAAUAAUAAUAAUAAUAAUAAUAAUAAUAAUAAUAAUGAUAAUAAUUUUUUUUCUGAUUAAUUAUUAAUAAAUGAAUGUAAUAUAAGGCCCCUAACCUCAAAUACACUACACACGCGACACAUUGAUUUCUAUCUCGACUUUCACGGUUGGCCCAAGAAAAAAAAAAAAUAUAUAUAUAUAUAUAUCUUGUCUCUCUGACAAAAUACAAAAAAAAAAAAAAACAUCACAGCAUCUCGCGACAAAGAUCUCUAUUGAAUCUUUUAUCUUCUGUAUGCGACCCUUUUUUAUCCAACAUUUUUCCAAGUAGCACGUGGGGAACCCGUGUACGCGAUGAAAAAUAAUGGAGGGGGCCUGAUUUGUUAAUACCUAUAUAUAUAUAUAGGGGUGGGGGAAGGGGAAAUAGAAUAGGGCCGCAAAAAUGAAUUGGUGAAGGGGUGGGGGGGAGAAAUCUCGAAUCGGCCUUGUACCCCAACGUGUGUCCUCCACCCGAUGUUCAACGAGCCGCAUAAAACCUGUGUGUAAAAGAGAGCGGAAAAAAUGUUUAUAUAUAUAUAUAUAUAUAUAUAUAUCCGCGGACUGCAUAAACGCGUUUACGAGAUCACUGUCGUUUUAGUUGAGAAACAGAGUCAAAGAGUAAAGAAAAAAAAAAAAAAAAAAAAAAAA